rnacentral:lncRNA from 1 species
UAAGGCCCAGUGCUGCCCGUGUCCUCAAUUCAUUCCGCGCAUUACCCUAAUAAGGUUAUCUUUAAUUUGUUGUUCCGCGCGUAUGCAUUUUUUAUACUCACGCUGAUCCUUCAAUGACGACAGUGUAAGGUAAAGCCCAAUGAUUUAGCAUUCAUAACAAGAAUCUGUCUUUCUUACUCUAUAAUGGGCGCACCAUUCAUUCGCAGGCAAGCAGCGGGAAGCAGGAAAAGGGGGACUAGACGGCACCAGGCAGUAAGUGGCCAUCAUGCAGGUGCAUACACUGACAUUAUGCCUUGCCAUUUUACAUUCCAAGGACACGAGCAGAAGGACAAGCGCAAGGAACAGGACAAGCGCAAGGAUGGUAAGGAUAUGAACAAGAGUCGGGCUCAAACGGGACGUGGCAGGCCACGUAACGGCCGUUCGGAGGUAUGAAGCCUCUGGUGCAAGACCAUGGCUAUUAACUAAAUGCUUUUUAUUGCGUUAUUUCGAGGCACGUUAUGCCGGUGUCACACCUACAGCCGUCAUUGCACGUAACACGCUCACAACUAUGUGUUCCUGCCUAAACAAUGAUUUGUUGUGAUGCAGAAAUAUGCCUUCCGUCGUGAACAUGACACGCGAGCGGAGGCGAGGAUUGAGCGCUUUAACAAGAAGACAAUAGUGGCGGUAUUGUGGUACAGUUACAUGCGCUUAGCUUUUGUGUGCCCAUUUUUUCUGACGUUUAGACUGUUGAACCCGUUUACAUGGAGUUGCUGGCUGAGUUGCAUUAGGAUUUGCUAUGAAUUCGUACCUGUUAUUCAGGAAUAGUUGAAAUGUAUGAAGAAAACAGUGAGUGCUGUGGUUCACAGGUCAUGUGCAACGGCGGUGCACUUUGCACAUUGUACAGCUCGUGUACUGCUAUUGUAAUGCUUUUGUAUUGCACGGUUGGCCGUACAGUUCGCAGUCCCGCACGCAAAUCGCAGUCACUCGCGUAAAAUUCAAAUGGUAGCACAUGAAUUCGCAGGAUUCGCAGUCGCGUAGCCAUUCGCAAUCCCUUGGCGAUGCGCUUGCGUUAAAAGUCAC